rnacentral:rRNA from 1 species
CCUACGGGUGGCAGCAGUGGGGAAUAUUGCACAAUGGAGGGAACUCUGAUGCAGCGACGCCGCGUGAGGGAAGAAGUAACUCGUUAUGUAAAGCUCCAUUAGCAGGGAAGUAAGUGACGGUACCUGAAAAAGAAGCUCCGGCUAAAUACGUGCAAGCAGCCGCGGUAAUACGUAUGGAGCAAGCGUUAUCCGGAUUUACUGGGUGUAAAGGGAGAGUAGGUGGCAGAGCAAGUCCGGAGUGAAAACCCAAAGCUCAACUAUGGGAAUGCUUUAGAAACUGCUCAGCUGGAGUGCAGGAGAGGCAAGUGGAAUUCGUGGUGUAGCGGUGAAAUGCGUAGAUAUUAGGAAGAACCCCGAUGGCGAAGGCAGCUUGCUGGACUGUAACUGACACUGAGGCUCGAAAGCGUGGGGAGCAAACAGGAUUAGAUACCCUGGUAGUC